rnacentral:rRNA from 1 species
AUGGCGGCGAUCAAAUUCACACCGCAAGCGGUGGAGUAUCGGGCAACGAGGGAACUCCUUCAUCACGGUAGAUGCGUUGGAGGUCUCUACCCCAUCACAUUCGGAGCAUUUAGUCGCAACCAUCGUCAAGUUUUCUCCGCCAUCAAGCCCUCCUUGGCAAGGUGGCAUCAAAGAUUAGGACAUCCAUCUUCGAUCAUUGUUAAACAAGUAGUCAAUAAAGGCAACCUCUUGUUGUCACAUAGUUCAAAUAGUGAGUCUGUUUGUGAAGCUUGCCAAUGUGCCAAGAGUCACCAACUUCCUUAUCCCAAGUCGAAUAGUACAUCUCAUGCUACUUUAGAACUUAUCUUUAGUGAUGUAUGGGGACAUGCGAGAGAUUCCUUGGCAGAAAGAAAUACUAUGUCAGUUUCAUUGAUGAUUAUAGCAAAUUUACAUGGA